rnacentral:rRNA from 1 species
UACGUAGGGUGCAAGCGUUGUCCGGAAUUAUUGGGCGUAAAGAGCUUGUAGGCGGUCUGUCGCGUCUGCUGUGAAAACUCAGGGCUUAACCCUGAGCUUGCAGUGGGUACGGGCAGACUAGAGUGCGGUAGGGGAGACUGGAAUUCCCGGUGUAGCGGUGAAAUGCGUAAAUAUCGGGAGGAACACCUGAGGCGAAGGCGGGCUACUGGGCCGAUACUGACGCUGAUGCGCGAAAGCCAGGGGAGCAAACGGG